CAGCAGCCACGGUAAUACGUAGGUGGCAAGCGUUGUCCGGAAUUAUUGGGCGUAAAGCGCGCGCAGGUGGUUUAAUAAGUCUGAUGUGAAAGCCCACGGCUCAACCGUGGAGGGUCAUUGGAAACUGUUAAACUUGAGUGCAGGAGAGAAAAGUGGAAUUCCUAGUGUAGCGGUGAAAUGCGUAGAGAUUAGGAGGAACACCAGUGGCGAAGGCGGCUUUUUGGCCUGUAACUGACACUGAGGCGCGAAAGCGUGGGGAGCAAACAGGAUUAGAUACCCGCGUAGUCCCUGUCUCUUAUAC
rnacentral:rRNA from 1 species